GUACAGUAAUUUUCCUUAGACUUCACUUCACUGAUCCCUUCGGCGUGACUCACUCAGGGAAACUGGAUUUCAGCAGCUUAAAAAGUAAGGAAGCAGCACACAGGACAGUUUGCAAACAACAACAACAACAACAACAACAAUCAUGCCUAAGUUCCCAAACCCAAAUUCCAUUCCCAACCCCAAAAAAUGACUUUGAUUUGAGUAUCAGGGCCUUGUUCAAAGACCUCCGGUUCAGGUGACUCUCCAGAGGGUCCAGACCUUCAGCCUGAGCGGACUGCGGACUGCGGACUGAAGGUCUGAAGGGAAGCGCAGAAGACGAAAUGAAUCCUUUUGGCCACAAGGUGGCAGAGUAAAGCACUGGCUGAACCAAACAGCCAUAGAUAUGAAUGAGUAGAUACGACACGCCCCUUUGAGCCGCGUGCCGACCGCGAGGCUAAGCUAGUGGGGGCAAAUUGUCAGAGCUUUCAAUGGAUGUGGACGGAGCGGAAGUCCAAAAACAAGGAUGCCCGUUCGUUGUGUUGCUUACGGUUGCACACAACGAAACUUGGAAUAACCUUUCAUAGGCUUCCCAGGGACUAUGACAAACGCAGAAAGUGGGAAAUAGCUCUGAGGAGAGAGGGUUUUGCUGCCAGAGACGAGUCUGUUGUGCAGUAAACAUUUCAAACCAGAUGAGUUGGACAGGACUGGACAGAUUUGCAUGAUCAAACCGUCUGUGUUUGACUUCCCGGCUCAUCUCGGAAAAGUAAGUGCAUCAUUUACAAAGAUGCAGCAGCUCAUUAUUUUCAUGACAAUUUACACUUUUUCUGUUUCUUUAAAGAUGACCUACUGCACACUCUUUUCCACCAUACCUGUGUUUGUAGCCCAAAGCCACAGGAAGCCCAGUUUGGCAUAGAGAACCAGCAGUCACUCUUGAUGGCUUCAGUGUUUUUAAAAAUAAGGCUGCACCACAUCGCCAGACUCGCUUCCCCUGAUUUACAAGGUGGAAGUACAAGGAAAAGGUCAUGCAAAACGCUCCUCUUUCAGGGUUUCCAGCCAGGAGGUCCAAUAAGUCAAAGGUGAAGUGUUUAUGGUCUUAAAAUUUCAAUGUAGUUGUUUGUAACUUGUAUAAUUGUUAAUAAAUUCUACUCUGUUUUAUCUCCA